CGUUCAUUUCGUUGAACUCCAACGUUGCAAACUUCAGCGUCGUUUUUGGUACAAGACAAGAUUAGGGGUGUUGGCGAAAGGUAGUUGAGAAUCGAGAUCUAGCCCGAGUCAAAGUUUGGGGAGCGAAGCUCGUUCUGCAUUCUAAAAAUAAAGAGCGUGCUUGCACAUUAGAACGAGACAAAGAGCGUGGCGCGAGAGAGGAGAGAGGGGCGGGGGGAUUUGAAGGAGAACGCGAGGCGCUCGUCGUUCGGCGACGAGUGUGUUGGCCAUUUCGAAAGCCUCGUCCAAAAAUGGUGAAGGGUUUGAAAGCCUCUGUUUUCGUUCGUCUCGUGCCUGCGAUCUUUCUUUCUCUUCGUUUCAUUCGACUCCCGACCUUUCUCCUGCACUAUUCUUUUCUUCGUUUUACCGUUUUCUGGGUUUUCUCUCGAUCUCUCUCCUCCACGCGUUGUCUAUCUGGCUGCAUUUUUUAUUUCCGCGUUUGUUGUUUUUUCAAUCUCGCACGAUCUAGUGUAACGAGCCUUUCUCCCAGAGUCUUCGAAUCGUCUGAUGGAAAGCGUCGCCAUCCGUUGCGUCAUCAUUCGAUCCGCGAACUCGAGUUCGAGCUGUCCGUCCGACGAAUCGUCGACACUCGAACGACCCUCUCGCGUCGUUUCGAAAUAUCGUUUUUUCUCCUUUUCACUCUCUCUCUCUCUUUCUCUCCGCCUUUACUAACGUUUCUUUUGCUCAUCCAACGUCCCUGUGCAAUAUUAUUCUUCGAGCAGUCGCACUCGUAUUUUUGACCUCAAUUAAUUUCUAUCUCUCGCUUGACUAUCGUUAAUGCUGCUUAGUCUAAAAACGAGAAAAUCAUCGGCUAUUGCGUUCACGGGAGGCGAGAGAAUGCGAUCAUUUUUACACUGUGCUUCAUUAGCUCAAAAAUAUUACACAGUUUUUCGAAAGCGUCUCACUACGACUUGCGACUCGGUUAUUUUGGCCCUCCGCGAAAAUCAGAUUAUCGUUGAUGUCCGACAGUCCUUCCAUAUUUCUGUCAAGACACUCGACUAUCGCGCUUCUUACUUUACUUCAUUCGCUUCUCCGGCCCAAAAUUUCAUUCCGAAAUUUCGUCGAUAUUUGUUGAAAUAAAAAUGAUUGAAAAUGAAACAAAAAUUAAGAAUUACUAUUCUCACAUUAAAAGUACAGUUUGAAGAUUGAUCGUGAAUUUUUUCAGAUUUUUUCAUCGAUAAUUCCGGGUGUGAUGGCGCGAAGACGAAAAGGACUCUGGUCCACGGAAUUAGGGUGCUUAAAAAACGUUCGCGGAUUAAGGCUCUCCACUUUACGGUGAAGGUACGACACAACCUUGGCCAAAGUGAGUCACCACCGAGAGCCACUGAUUCCUAUUCACUACAUUGCAUGUACACAAAUGGAAACGACUACGAAAAAACUGGAACGAGAAAUGAGAUCGAGGCGAAACACUGCUUUUUAUCAACUCCCUUUUUUCUCUGCGUAUUCCGCAGUUUUUUAAAAAUUAAAAAAUUUUUUUUUCGUUUCAUUUCACUCACAUUCUUCCAUGUUUGAACAUGUUUGAAAAUUACUGGGGACUUUGCAGAUAUUCGUGGAAACAGAAUGGUCAAUGUACGGAGAAAAUUAACUCGAGUCGAGAAUAGUUGGAGAAACUUCAAAUUGAGAGAGAGAGGACAUUUGGAAAAAUAUCGAAAAUUCAUUACCUGAAUAUUCGUUUCCAGGAUUACGCGAUCAUAUUUUUUGUAGGCAAACAUUGAAUACGUACUGGAUAGAUUUGCAAAAUUUGGACGCUGGUUACCAUGUAGUUUAGCUGCAAAUUAAUUAUUGAAUAUCGACUUUUCUAUGACAGUUAUCACACCGGCACAUGAAAGUCGUACACGCAUGAAAAGUUAUUGAAUUUUUUCAUUAGUUAUAUCCAAGAUUUCGCAAAAAAAAUCGAUCGUUGUAUUUCGUGAAUAUUCAAGAAUUUUUUUUCGUUUUUGUUUUUAAAUUUAUUUUUUAGUAUUUUUAGUAUUUUGGUUUUUGAAUCGUACCGUUGAAAGUUGGCCGAAAUAUUAUAUAAAAUAUCUGAUGAGAAAUCAUUCGGAUUACAUGAAAAAUGGAUUGGUAAUGUUUGGCAACGCUGCACUGCAGUUUCGCCACGUUUUUUUUUGUAAGUUUUUACAAAACGACUGCAAUUCUCCACUGCAAUACUACUUUGGACAGUAAACUCACUUCGUAGCCUAUAAAAUUUGUGAAGAAAACUGACAGCGUGACAUCAACCACAAACUCGAAAUGUUUUUUUUAUAAUAAAAUUGUAUAAAAAUGUU